UGCUGCUGCCCAGACUGCUGCAGAUGUCCUGGGAGAGAGCACAGGCUGGAAGGAAAGAGCUAUAGAAACUGCAUUCACAAACAAGCCCUAGCCACAGAUGUUUAUUCUUUGGGCCACAGCUGUCUUUUUGUUGUGUUUGAUAGGGCCCGUGCAACAGGGCUCCUGUUGAGGGAUGUCUCAGACCUGCAGGAACAAGUCAUCCUCUGUUCCCUCCAUUCUCUACUGACCACGCAGGCAUCCCAGGCGUUCACCUGUAAUUCCUGGGCUGUUCAGGGCCGCGGCAUAAAUCUUCUAACGCA